AUUGAACGCUGGCGGCAGGCUUAACACAUGCAAGUCGAGCGAGCGGCGGACGGGUGAGUAAUGUCUGGGAAACUGCCUGAUGGAGGGGGAUAACUACUGGAAACGGUAGCUAAUACCGCAUACCAUCAGAUGGGCCCAGAUGGGAUUAGCUAGUAGGGGGGGUAAUGGCGCACCUAGUCGACGAUCCCUAGCUGGUCUGAGAGGAUGACCAGCCACACUGGAACUGAGACACGGUCCAGACUCCGACGGGAGGCAGCAGUGGGGAAUAUUGCACAAUGGGCUCAAGCCUGAUGCAGCCAUGCCGCGUGUGUGAAGAAGGCCUGCGGGUUGUAAAGCACUUUCAGCGAGGAGGCGUUACUCGCAGAAGAAGCACCGGCUAACUCCGUGCCAGCAGCCGCGGUAAUUC
rnacentral:rRNA from 1 species